UACGUAGGUGGCAAGCGUUGUCCGGAUUUAUUGGGUUUAAAGGGUGCGUAGGCGGUUCUGUAAGUCAGUGGUGAAAUACUCUAGCUUAACUAGAGGGGUGCCAAUGAUACUGCAGAACUUGAGUACAGAUGAGGUAGGCGGAAUUGACGGUGUAGCGGUGAAAUGCAUAGAUAUCGUCAAGAACACCGAUAGCGAAGGCAGCUUACUGGGCUGUAACUGACGCUGAGGCACGAAAGUGUGGGGAUCAAACGGG
rnacentral:rRNA from 1 species